rfam:Anaerolinea sp. 4484_236 ex4484_236_scaffold_34168, whole genome shotgun sequence.
UUUGCGGAGAGUUUGAUCCUGGCUCAGGAUGAACGCUGGCGGCGUGCCUAAUACAUGCAAGUCGAACGAGGAGCUUCAGCGCUUGUAUUCGUACUCGCGCAGAGGAUUUCCUAGUGGCGAACGGGUGAGUAACGCGUUGGUGACCUGCCCCAAAGAGCACCUACGGGUGGCAGCAGUAGGGAAUAUUGCACAAUGGGCGAAAGCCUGAUGCAGCAACGCCGCGUGUGCGAUGAAGGCCUUCGGGUCGUAAAGCACUUUUUGGGAGGAUGAGAAAGGACAGUACUCCCAGAAUAAGUCUCGGCUAACUAUGUGCCAGCAGCCGCGGUAAUACAUAGGAGGCGAGCGUUAUCCGGAUUUACUGGGCGUAAAGCGCGUGCAGGUGGUUUAGUAAGUUGGAUGUGAAAUCUCCCGGCUCAACUGGGAUAGGUCGUUCAAAACUACUAGACUAGAGGACGGUAGAGGAAGGUGGAAUUCCCGGUGUAGUGGUGAAAUGCGUAGAUAUCGGGAGGAACACCAGUGGCGAAAGCGGCCUUCUGGCCCGUUCGGUAGUCCUAGCCGUAAACGAUGUCAACUAGGCGUUGGUGGGUUAAUAGCCAUCAGUGCCGCAGCUAACGCGAUAAGUUGACCGCCUGGGGACUACGAUCGCAAGAUUAAAACUCAAAGGAAUUGACGGGGCCCCGCACAAGCAGCGGAGCGUGUGGUUUAAUUCGAUGCUACACGAAGAACCUUACCUGGGCUUGACAUGU